rnacentral:rRNA from 1 species
GAUGAACGCUAGCGGCAGGCUUAACACAUGCAAGUCGAAGUCUUGAUGGCGACCGGGCGGCAAGGGUGCGUAACGCGUGAGCAACUUGCCCGUUUCAGGGGGAUAACCGGUGGAAACGCCGACUAAUACCCCAUGGUGAUGUUAUGAGGCAUCUCAUUACAUCUAAAGAACUUCGGAAACGGAUAGGCUCGCGUGACAUUAGCUAGAUGGCGGGGUAACGGCCCACCAUGGCGACGAUGUCUAGGGGUUCUGAGAGGAAGGUCCCCCACACUGGAACUGAGACACGGUCCAGACUCCUACGGGAGGCAGCAGUGAGGAAUAUUGGUCAAUGGUCUGACGACUGAACCAGCCAUGCCGCGUGAAGGAAACGGCCCUAUGGGUCUUAAACUUCUUUUGUAAGGGAGCAAUAAGGUCUACGUGUAGACUGAUGAGAGUACCUUACGAAUAAGCAUCGGCUAACUCCGUG